UCCGGUGGCCUUAGCGAGCGGGUACCACCCGAUCCCAUCCCGAACUCGGAAGUGAAAACGCUCAGCGCCGAUGGUACUGCUGGGGCAGCUCAGUGGGAGAGUAGGUCGCCGCCGGAU
rnacentral:rRNA from 1 species